AACGUACGCUGGCGGCACGCUUAACACAUGCAAGUCGAACGAAGUAGCAAUACUUAGUGGCAGACGGGUGAGUAACAUGUGGGUAUCUGCCCUUUGGCCUGGAAUAACACGAGGAAACUUGUGCUAAUACCGGAUAAGUCUUUACGGAGAAAGCUUUAUGCACCAUUGGAUGAGCCCGCACUUGAUUAGUUUGUUGGUGGGGUAAUGGCCUACCAAGACUGUGAUCAAUAGCUGAUUUGAGAGGAUGAUCAGCCACAUUGGGACUGAGACACGGCCCAAACUCCUACGGGAGGCAGCAGUGGGGAAUCUUGCACAAUGGAGGAAACUCUGAUGCAGCGAUGCCGCGUGAGUGAAGAAGGCCCUUGGGUUGUAAGGCUCUUUCGUCGGGGAAGAAAAUGACUGUACCCGAAUAAGAAGGUCCGGCUAACUUCGUGCCAGCAGCCGCGGUAAUACGAAGGGACCUAGCGUAGUUCGGAAUUACUGGGCUUAAAGAGUUCGUAGGUGGUUGAAAAAGUUAGUGGUGAAAUCCCAGAGCUUAACUCUGGAACUGCCAUUAAAACUUUUCAGCUAGAGUAUGAUAGAGGAAAGCAGAAUUUCUAGUGUAGAGGUGAAAUUCGUAGAUAUUAGAAAGAAUACCAAUUGCGAAGGCAGCUUUCUGGAUCAUUACUGACACUGAGGAACGAAAGCAUGGGUAGCGAAGAGGAUUAGAUACCCUCGUAGUCCAUGCCGUAAACGAUGUGUGUUAGACGUUGGAAAUUUAUUUUCAGUGUCGCAGCGAAAGCGAUAAACACACCGCCUGGGGAGUACGACCGCAAGGUUAAAACUCAAAUGAAUUGACGGGGACCCGCACAAGUAGUGGAGCAUGUGGUUUAAUUCGAAGAUACGCGCAGAACCUUACCAACACUUGACAUGUUCGUCGCGACUCUAAGAGAUUAGAGUUUUCGGUUCGGCCGGACGAAACACAGGUGCUGCAUGGCUGUCGUCAGCUCGUGUCGUGAGAUGUUGGGUUAAGUCCCGCAACGAGCGCAACCCUCACUUUUAGUUGCCAUCAUUAAGUUGGGCACUCUGAAAGAACUGCCAGUGAUAAGCUGGAGGAAGGUGGGGAUGACGUCAAGUCCUCAUGGCCCUUACGUGUUGGGCUACACACGUGCUACAAUGGUAUCUACAACAGGAAGCAAGACUGCGAGGCCAAGCAAAUCCUUAAAAGAUACCUCAGUUCGGAUUGCACUCUGCAACUCGAGUGCAUGAAGCUGGAAUUACUAGUAAUCGUGGAUCAGCGUGCCACGGUGAAUGCGUUCCCGGGUCU
rnacentral:rRNA from 1 species